GCCGAAGUGGUGGAAUUGGUAGACGCGCUGCGUUCAGGGCGCAGUGGGCGCAAGCCCGUGUGGGUUCGAGUCCCACCUUCGGCAUCA
rnacentral:tRNA from 1 species